AUUGAACGCUGGCGGCAUGCUUUACACAUGCAAGUCGAACGGCAGCACGGGAGCAAUCCUGGUGGCGAGUGGCGAACGGGUGAGUAAUGCAUCGGAACGUGCCCAGUCGUGGGGGAUAACGCAGCGAAAGCUGCGCUAAUACCGCAUACGAUCUAUGGAUGAAAGCGGGGGACUCGCAAGAGCCUCGCGCGAUUGGAGCGGCCGAUGUCAGAUUAGGUAGUUGGUGGGGUAAAAGCUCACCAAGCCAACGAUCUGUAGCUGGUCUGAGAGGACGACCAGCCACACUGGAACUGAGACACGGUCCAGACUCCUACGGGAGGCAGCAGUGGGGAAUUUUGGACAAUGGGCGCAAGCCUGAUCCAGCAAUGCCGCGUGCAGGAAGAAGGCCUUCGGGUUGUAAACUGCUUUUGUACGGAACGAAAAGGUCC
rnacentral:rRNA from 1 species